rnacentral:tRNA from 1 species
GUCUUUGUGGUGUAGUGGUCUGCAUGUUCGACGCGUAACCGAGAGGUCCGAGGUUCGAUUCCCGGCGAAGAAG